AUUGAACGCUGGCGGCAGGCCUAACACAUGCAAGUCGGACGAGUGGCGGACGGGUGAGUAACGUCUGGGAACCUUCCUGAUAGAGGGGGAUAACUACUGGAAACGGUAGCUAAUACCGCAUACCAUCAGAUGUGCCCAGGUGGGAUUAGCUUGUGGGGGGGGUAAAGGCUCACCCAGGCGACGAUCCCUAGCGGGUCUGAGAGGAGGAUCAGCCACAAUGGAACUGAGACACGGCCCAGACUCCUACGGGAGGCAGCAGUGGGGAAUAUUGGACAAUGGGCGCAAGCCUGAUGCAGCCAUGCCGCGUGGCUGAAGAAGGCCUUCGGGUUGUAAAGGACUUUUGGCGGGGAGGCGUUACCUGAAGAAUAAGCACCGGCUAACUCCGUGCCAGCAGCCGCGGUAAUAC
rnacentral:rRNA from 1 species